GACGAACGCUGGCGGCGUGCUUAACACAUGCAAGUCGAACGGAAAGGCCCUGCUUUUGUGGGGUGCUCGAGUGGCGAACGGGUGAGUAACACGUGAGUAACCUGCCCUUGACUUUGGGAUAACUUCAGGAAACUGGGGCUAAUACCGGAUAGGAGCUCCUGCUGCAUGGUGGGGGUUGGAAAGUUUCGGCGGUUGGGGAUGGACUCGCGGCUUAUCAGCUUGUUGGUGGGGUAGUGGCUUACCAAGGCUUUGACGGGUAGCCGGCCUGAGAGCGUGACCGGCCACAUUGGGACUGCGAUACGGCCCAGACUCCUACGGUAGGCAGCAGUGGGGAAUAUUGCACAAUGGGCGGAAGCCUGAUGCAGCAACGCCGCGUUCGUGAUGACGGCCUUCGGGUUGUAAACCGCUUUCGCCUGUGACGAAGCGUGAGUGACGGUAAUGGGUAAAGAAGCACCGGCUAACUACGUG
rnacentral:rRNA from 1 species